rnacentral:rRNA from 1 species
AGGACAACGCUGGCGGCAUGCCUAACACAUGCAAGUCUAGGGGUAGCAAUACCACUGGCGCACGGGUGAGUAACACGUAGGUUAUCUGCCCCCAUCACAGACAUAACCCGGAAACCGGGGCUAAUAUCUGAUGAGGUCGCGAGAUCAAAGCUUCGGCGGAUGGGGAUGAGCCUGCGGCUGAUUAGCUAGUUGGUGAGGUAAUGGCUCACCAAGGCGACGAUCAGUAGCUGGUCUGAGAGGACGAACAGCCACACUGGAACUGAGACACGGUCCAGACUCCUACGGGAGGCAGCAGUGAGGAAUAUUGGUCAAUGGGAGCAAUCCUGAACCAGCAAUGCCGCGUGUGGGAUGACAGGGCUUCGCCUUGUAAACCACUGUCGGACGGGACGAAAGGAGGCCUCGGGCCUCUGGGACGGUACCGUCAAAGGAAGGGUCGGCUAACUACGUG